UGUUGGGUAGGGGAGCGUUCUGUAAGCCUGUGAAGGUGGCCUGUGAGGGUUGCUGGAGGUAUCAGAAGUGCGAAUGCUGACAUAAGUAACGAUAAAGCGGGUGAAAAGCCCGCUCGCCGGAAGACCAAGGGUUCCUGUCCAACGUUAAUCGGGGCAGGGUGAGUCGACCCCUAAGGCGAGGCCGAAAGGCGUAGUCGAUGGGAAACAGGUUAAUAUUCCUGUACUUGGUGUUACUGCGAAGGGGGGACGGAGAAGGCUAUGUUGGCCGGGCGACGGUUGUCCCGGUUUAAGCGUGUAGGUGUGUGUUCCAGGUAAAUCCGGUUCACUUUAACACUGAGGCGUGAUGACGAGGCACUACGGUGCUGAAGCAACAAAUGCCCUGCUUCCAGGAAAAGCCUCUAAGCAUCAGGUAACAUCAAAUCGUACCCCAAACCGACACAGGUGGUCAGGUAGAGAAUACCAAGGCGCUUGAGAGAACUCGGGUGAAGGAACUAGGCAAAAUGGUGCCGUAACU
rnacentral:rRNA from 1 species